ACCACUAUCAGCCUGGGCAUGGUACGGAACACUGAGCAGACACUCACUGCCAACAGAGGAGCCAUACUCAUCAGGGAUCCUCUUUACCACUGAUUCCUUUGGGAGUUCCUCGUCAGCCUAGCAUCCCAGCUCAGAGUUGUGGAGACCACAGCUCCCGGCAGCUCUCUAGGACUCCCCAUCGGCCCUUUGUGGUUGAGGCUCGUGCUGGGUCAGAACUCCUAGGUCUCAUCUGCCUGUCAUGCAACCAGCUUAGUACACAUUGACAACAGACCCUUCUGAAGAAGCCCCUAUCGGGGCUGAUGCUGUAAGACUCCAUGAGCCAGAGGAAAACACAGGAGCAAAGCCUUCAGACCAGCCUGAAAGAUAUCUAGAGCAACCCAGUUACAUCGCCGGGGGCAGAUGUAGAACGGAUGUUACACAAAUUCAGAAUUGUAAUUUACAACA